rnacentral:rRNA from 1 species
CACGGGGGAGCAAGCGUUGUUCGGAAUCACUGGGCGUAAAGGGCGUGUAGGCGGUUUGGUAAGUGGGAUGUGAAAGUCCAGGGCUCAACCCUGGGAUGCCGGUGGAUACUGUCGGACUAGAGUACGGAAGAGGCGAGUGGAAUUCCCGGUGUAGCGGUGAAAUGCGCAGAUAUCGGGAGGAACACCAAUUGCGAAGGCAGCUCGCUGGGACGUUACUGACGCUGAGACGCGAAAGCGUGGGAGCAAACAGG